rnacentral:rRNA from 1 species
AGUGAACGCUGGCGGUAGGCCUAACACAUGCAAGUCGAACGGCAGCACAGUAAGAGCUUGCUCUUACGGGUGGUGAGUGGCGGACGGGUGAGGAAUACAUCGGAAUCUACUUUUUCGUGGGGGAUAACGUAGGGAAACUUACGCUAAUACCGCAUACGACCUACGGGUGAAAGCAGGGGAUCUUCGGACCUUGCGCGAUUGAAUGAGCCGAUGUCGGAUUAGCUAGUUGGCGGGGUAAAGGCCCAACAAGGCGACGAUCCGUAGCUGGUCUGAGAGGAUGAUCAGCCACACGGGAACUGAGACACGGCCCAGACUCCUACGGGAGGCAGCAGUGGGGAAUAUUGGACAAUGGGCGCAAGCCUGAUCCAGCCAUACCGCCUGGGUGAAGAAGGCCUUCGGGUUGUAAAGCCCUUUUGUUGGGAAAGAAAAGCAGCAGGUUAAUACCCCGCUGUUCUGACGGUACCCAAAGAAUAAGCACCGGCUAACUUCGUG